UACAGAGGGGCAAGCGUUGUUCGGAAUUACUGGGCGUAAAGGGCUCGUAGGUGGCCAACUAAGUCAGACGUGAAAUCCCUCGGCUUAACCGGGGAACUGCAUCUGAUACUGGAUGGCUUGAGUUUGGGAGAGGGAUGCGGAAUUCCAGGUGUAGCGGUGAAAUGCGUAGAUAUCUGGAGGAACACCGGUGGCGAAGGCGGCAUCCUGGACCAACACUGACGCUGAGGAGCGAAAGCCAGGGGAGCAAACGGG
rnacentral:rRNA from 1 species